UCCUUCGGGAGCACCGGCGGACUGCUCAGUAACACGUGGACAACCUACCCUCGGGUGGGGGAUAACCUCGGGAAACUGAGGCUAAUACCCCAUAGGCCUCGGAUACUGGAAGGUUCCGAGACCGAAAGCUCCGGCGCCCGAGGAUGGGUCUGCGGCCUAUCAGGUAGUUGGUGGUGUAAAGGACCACCAAGCCUACGACGGGUACGGGCCCUGAGAGGGGGAGCCCGGAGAUGGACUCUGAGACACGAGUCCAGGCCCUACGGGGCGCAGCAGGCGCGAAACCUUCGCAAUGCGCGAAAGCGCGACGAGGGGAGCCCGAGUGCCCUUCCUUUCGGGAGGGCUUUUCUGGAGCCUAAAAAGCUCCAGGAAUAAGGGCUGGGCAAGACGGGUGCCAGCCGCCG
rnacentral:rRNA from 1 species